UAAAUUCUGUGUACUACAUUCCAUCUACCUACAUUAACAACAAGGAUAAGGAUAAGACGGAUUGUAUGAUUUAAUGAUAUGUACCGGAGUAGAGAAGAACAGGGGAUAACUAUGUACCAAAGCAGUUGAAACAGGAGGCCAAGAACUAGUAGUCACGUCCAUAUGCAAGCAAUGCAGCAUAUGAAUUUGCAUGUUAUAUUCCUCAUCUCCCCAGUUCCCCUUUAUAAUUAACGAGAUCCAGUGUAUAAGCUAUAUAAGUUUCUAUUAUACGGUGAGUGACUAACGUCCAUUGUGAUAGUAUUUUCAGCUUUUUGAUGAUUCUGAAGUGCACAACUGCCCCUCAACCAACAACUGUUGCCGGAAUACAAUGUUGAAUUGUGCUAAUUCCUUUUUCAGUUCUCUCUCCAUGUCCUCUCCAACAGGUAAAGCAGUUUUGUUCCCAGCUUGCCAGUUUGAAUCCUUCGUGAGAAUGUAGAACUUCCACAUCUUGGAAGUUCAAACAAUCAUUUUGUUGUAAUAUGACUGAUAUCCG
rnacentral:misc_RNA from 1 species